UUGAAAAUAAAAUAUUUUCACAUUAUAGUGUCUUACAAUUAUCCUCAUAACGAAAUGACAUAUAUAAUAUUUUCUCAAGAACAUAUUAUUAAACUCGGCCCUGAUGUAAAAAUAUCAGAGCCUUGCAACACAAUUUAAACUUACAAAAUAAUCCAACAAACUUUAAAGAACACCAUAACAUAGGAGAGAGAAUAAUCCUCCACUUUAUUCUCGUGAACAAACACCUCGAUACUACAACUGAGUCUUGUCUUGAGGAUAGUUAUAACGGCCUGUAUAGAGAACCAGAUAGAAUUCUUGGAGUGAGAUAAAUUUUAAAUCAUUUAAAGUGUUAUAAAAUUGCAGUGAAUAGAAACAAACACACAAAGAUACAUUCCAAACAUCAAACGAUCUAAGGUGUAAAUAUAAUUGUAAAAUAUAUGUAAUGUGGAUGCACUUGUACUCGUUAUGCAUGUUGUUCCAAUAACUUAGACUCAAAAAAGUAUAUUAUAGGAGGACAUGGUCAAUUAAAGAAAAAUAACACCCUUCCAAGCUUAAUAAGUAUGUCUUAACAUCAAAAGGAUCAUCAUUAUUCAUUGGUGUUUCCACACUGAUGCUUAAUCAUCUCCGAGACUAAGUUAAUGAACCAAACGGGUUCCUUUGCCGUCCAUUUAUUUAAAAUUUUGCCUCACACGUUAAACAACCUUUGUAUCGAUGCAUGUUUCACAAAACAAAAUAUAAACAAACAUCAUCCUAUAAUUCACGUCGAAAAAUUAAUACAAUAUACACCUUUCACAAGCAGGCCCGGCCCUGAGCUAUGACCAAGGGUGCCACGGCCUGAGGCCUAGGGGGCCAAUUUUUCUAAUACCUACCUACUAUUAAAAAAACAAAUUAAUUCUGCUGAAAUAAAAAAUCAAUUAUGCUUAAAGAAAGAAAACGUGACAAUUGAGGAAUUGAAGACACUUAAAAGUAUCUAUUAAUUUUUAUAGGGAUGAUAAUGGGUUGAAAGAAUGUUGUGUUAAAUUUCACUCAAUCUUUUUUCAUGGUACUUUAUCAUAUGUUGAUGUAGAUUGAUAUAUUCUCUGAGUGUUACAAUUUGCUUAUUAUUAUUCGAAUAACAAUUCCUAUAACUGAUAGUGCAUGUGACUGUAGCAUCGGCGGAAAGAAGCUUUUUAAAAUUGAAGUUAAUUAAAACCUACUUGAGAUCGUUUGAUAACUUUGUCAAUUGAGAAAUAUAUCUUGGAGGACAUUGAUGUCUAUGCGAUUAUCAAUGAUUUUGCAUUUCAAAAUUGUCGACGAAAUCACGUCUUAUGAAUUUUCAAGUAUUUUUUUUUAUAUUUUAUAAAACUAUUAUUAUGUAUUAAUGUAUAUUAUAUUAAAUGGAAUAAGUUUUUUUUUCCUUAUAUUUGGCCUAAGACCCAUAAAAUAUCGAGAACGAGACUAUUCACCUUAGCACAAUCCUUUACUCUCGUGAGCAUGGUGUUGUUCACGAUAAAAUUAUAUGCAACACAUACAAUCACAAUGUUGGUAUUUUGCCUUUGAUUUGAUGUAGUUUUAGGUUUUGAAUCAGAGCACCACACGGGGCGUGGCCCUGGCUCACGUGAGGAACAAUUGAAGUGCUUGGUUGGGGUUUGAAUGUUGUCCACCACGCGGGGAGUGCCACUGUUCACGCGGGGCGUGGCACUGUUCACACGAGGCGUGAGACUGCUGUAUAAAAAUGCAUAAUCAGUUUUUGCAGCCGCCAGGAAGAGAGAGAAAGUGGAAUUUUAGGGUUUUUUGAUCCAAUAUCAAGUCUAGGAGCAAGAGGGUUUAUCUUGGGUUAUUUCUAGUGUUUGGAUCUCUUUUCUUUCACCUUGUAAUCACUUAUUGAUUGAAUCUCUUGGUCACGGGGAAGAUAUUCGGGAAAAUGGUAGAUUUAGGAAAACUCUAAAUCUUGUAACUCUUUGUGGUUGAACCUUUUCUAAUUAAGUUUUCAUUGAUAGUGGAACGGAGAGCUUUCUCUCCCCCAUACUAGGUUGUUAUAUCCGAACUGUGUAAACAAAUUAUUCGUGUUAUUUAUCGCUUUUGGUAGUUUAGAUUUUUUUGAUUUAUUGCUCAUUCAUUUUGAUUUGGUUGUAGGGAUGACAAUUUGACUCAUACCCAGAGGGUACCCGCAAAAAUUACCCACAACGGGUAGGGUAAAAACCCGCAUUUUGGGUACGGGCACGGAUAUGAGUAAUUACCCGCAAAAAUUAACGGGUAUGGGUGCGGGUACGGGUACCUUAAUUAGUACCCACCCCGCCCCAUACCCACAUAAUAUAUAUUUAUUUUAUUUAUAUUAUUAUAUAAUAAUAUAUGUAAAUCAAUUUUANNNNNNNNNNNNNNNNNNNNNNNNNNNNNNNNNNNNNNNNNNNNNNNNNNNNNNNNNNNNNNNNNNNNNACAUAAAUAUGAACUUUAACAUAAGGUUAGUAAUAAUUUUGUUUAUAAUUUUCAUGAGUCAAUAAUAAAAUCUUUGAAAUUUUUUUAAUUCUAUUAAGAUUAUAUGAUAUUUUAUAAUUAAUCAAUUUAUUUUUAGUAAAAGUACGGGUAACGGGUACGGGUAUGGGUACCUAGGUACCCAUAUGGUAUGGGGACGUGGGGAAAAGUUGUUACCCACGCUGGUAUGGGGAUGGGUACGGGUAUUUUUUCAAUCCGCGAGUAUGGGGAUGGGUACUAUAGUACCCUACCCAUACCCUACUCAUUGUCAUCCCUAUUUGGUUGCUUCAAUUUAUUUGUCCCACACAUCAAAGUAUUAUUAGUGUAGUUUUCGGUUCGAAUUCACAACACACAAGAACAACCUUAUUAAUUUAUAUAUGUAUAUAUGUCAAGCAACGAAAAUGGAAUGACAUUAUAGAUAAAUCAUAUUUACUUUAUGGUCUGCAACCGCAAAAACCUCUAACGCAGUGUAGUCUUGAAUUUAAAUCACAAUGAGGACACUUGUUUAUGCACUCAUAGUCAUGAGUGCAGCUUAUUCUUUCUCUUAUUGGUCUUUCUGUAAUAUAAAAUAACAAUAUAGAAAUAUAACUAAAAUUGGUGAAAGAUUGUGUAUAAAAUUAAAAAAAAAAUUAAAAAAUACGAGAAAGAGCUUACGGCUAUCAACGGCUACAACGAGCAAUAAAGAAAUAAAAAGGAUCAUAGUAUAAACAAACUUGAAAGUUUCACCCAUUUUUUAACCUUUGCAUGUAAAAUAUAUAAAGUGGUUUGAUCACUAUAUAUAGUAAAAAUAUGUUGCUAUGUUUACG
rnacentral:lncRNA from 1 species